UACGUAGGAUGCGAGCGUUAUCCGGAAUUAUUGGGUGUAAAGCGUGUGUAGGCGGUAAAUUAAGCCUAAGGUCUAAGCCCGGAGCUCGACUCCGGUUCGCCUUAGAAACUGAUUUUCUUGAGUAUGGUAGGGCAAACGGAAUUUCUAGUGUAGCGGUAAAAUGCGUAGAUAUUAGAAGGAACACCAGUGGCGAAGGCGGUUUGCUGGGCCAAAACUGACGCUGAGACACGAAUGCGUGGGGAGCAAAUAG
rnacentral:rRNA from 1 species